CUGGAAAAAUCCAGAAGAUUGCUUGAGUUUCUCUGAGUAUUUGAAGGUUGCAUGCUCUUGCCCAGAUGACUUGUUUUUCCUACUGAGAAUAUGUCCCAGUACUACAGACGUGAGCUGUAGCCGGACUUCCCCCUUCUGAAGCUGCUGAGCUGUUAGCUGGUGGAGGGAGGGACAGGAGGCUGUCCCAGUCCCAUGCCAUCCCAAAGAAACCCAGGUCAACAUGCAGAAGUUUUCAGGACUGUCCCCUGUGUGGCCAGGUGGCUUUGCAGGGAACAAAACUCCUUCCAUUCCUGGGCUGCCUUGGAAUGUCCCUGGAAGAAGUUGCAUAGACAUACUGUUUGCUCUUCCUGGCCCUCAGUUGGCUGGGCUGCAAGUCAAGAGUGUGACAUCUGCAGCCUGGGUGAGACUGAGCAGCACAAGAAGGCUGGGACAAUGACUUCCUGUGCAAACAAUGCCUGCUUCCCAUGUGAGAUCUGAGUUUAUUCCCCCAGACUGCGAGGGGAGAGGCAGCAUGCUGAAUAAAGCUUGUCACCUAGAACUUUGACAUGGAGACAGACAUAC